GAUGAACGCUGGCGGCGUGCCUAAUACAUGCAAGUCGAGCGAACAGACGAGGAGCUUGCUCCUCUGACGUUAGCGGCGGACGGGUGAGUAACACGUGGAUAACCUACCUAUAAGACUGGGAUAACUUCGGGAAACCGGAGCUAAUACCGGAGAAUAUAUUGAACCGCAUGGUUCAAUAGUGAAAGACGGUUUUGCUGUCACUUAUAGAUGGAUCCGCGCCGCAUUAGCUAGUUGGUAAGGUAACGGCUUACCAAGGCAACGAUGCGUAGCCGACCGGAGAGGGUGAUCGGCCACACUGGAACUGAGACACGGUCCAGACUCCUACGGGAGGCAGCAGUAGGGAAUCUUCGGCAAUGGGCGAAAGCCUGACGGAGCAACGCCGCGUGAGUGAUGAAGGUCUUCGGAUCGUAAAACUCUGUUAUUAGGGAAGAACAAAUGUGUAAGUAACUAUGCACGUCUUGACGGUACCUAAUCAGAAAGCCACGGCUAACUACGUG
rnacentral:rRNA from 1 species